GUGGCGAACGCAAUAGAACAACA
rnacentral:piRNA from 1 species